GGUCCUAUCUGCUAACGGAAGGCAAGCUGACUCUCUAUCAGCAAACGGGGGUUCGACUCCCCCUAGGAUCA
rnacentral:tRNA from 1 species